rnacentral:lncRNA from 1 species
AGAUCACGCCACUGCACUCCAGCCUGGGCGACAGAGCGAGACUCCGUCUCAAAAAGAAAAAAAAUUGUAGGCCGGGCACAGUGGCUCAUGCCUGUAAUCCCAGCACUUUGGGAGGCCGAGGUGGGCAGAUUAUGAAGUCAGGAGAUCGAGACCAUCCUGGCUAACAUGGUGAAACCCCGUCUCUACUAAAACUACAAAAAGUAGCCAGGCGUGGUGGUGGGCGCCUGUAGUCCCACCUACUCAGGAGGCUUAGGCAGAAGAAUGGUGUGAACCCGGGAGGUAGAGCUUGCAGUGAGCCAAGAUCGAGCCACUUGCACUCCAGCCUGGGCUACAGAGCGAGACUUGUCUCAAAAAAAAAAAAAAAAAAAGAAAAAGAAAAAAGAAAGAAAUUUACUCUUUCUGGACGGGCGGGGUGAGGUGGCUCACGCCUAUAAUCACAGCACUUUGGGAGGCCGAGGCAGGUGAAUCAUGUGAGGGCUGAAGUUCGAGAGCAGCCUGGGCAACAUAGUAAAACCCUGUGCCUACAAAAAAUGCAAAAAUUAGCUGGGCAUGGUGGUGCACAUCUGUAAUCCCAUCUAUUCAGAAGGCUGAGGAAUGAGAAUCACUUGAGCCCAGGAGGCAGAGGUUGCAGUGAGCUGAGAUCGCACCACUGCACUCCAGCCUGGGUGACAGGGCAAGACUCGGUCUCAAAAAAAAUGUUUUUAAAGGCCUGGCACGGUGGCUCAUGCCUGUAAUCCCAGCACUUUGGGAGGCCGAGGCAGGCGGAUCACCUGAGGUCAGGAGUUCAAGACCAGCCUGGCUAACGUGGUGAAACUGUCUUCCACUAAAAAUACAAAAAAGUAACCGAGCUUGGUGGCAUGCGCCUGUAAUACCAGCUGCUUGGGAGGGUGAAGCAGGAGAAUCGCUUGAACUCAGGAGGGGUGGCUGCAGUGAGCUGAAAUCAUGCCACUGUACUUCAGCUUGGGCAACAGGAGGGAAACUCCAUCUCAAAUAAAAAGAAAAGAAAGUUUAUUCUUUCUGAGAGCCCCUACCCAUCAGGGUUUCAUCUGCAUUAAAAGACAGCCCUCCGUAGCCAGGCCUUUCUUCUCUCUCUUCCAUAACCUGUCUCACCAGUCUCCAAGUCCUGAUUCUUCUUUAACCUCAGAGUGAUAUAAAAACUUCGUCGGCCACCGUGCCUGGCCCCUCCUGUGUUCUUUAACACCUCCCAAGCCCAAACCCUGUUACUGGCAGCAAAUCCGUGUGGGUCUGCAGCAACCUCAAUUCUUGUCUCCUAAGAAGAAAGAAUUCGACUGAGGGGAAUAGGCAGAAGGAAAGACCAAGGCAGCCUGGGCAAUAGGCUCUCAUUUAGAGCAGGAGAGAAAGUUUAUUGAAAAGCUUUAGAGCAGGGACAAAAGGAAUGAAAGUACACUUGGAAGAGGGCUAAGCGGGCGACAUGAAAGACAAGUGUGCAGUUUGACCUUUUGAGUUGGGGUUUUAUAUGUUGGCACACUUCUGGGGUCUUGCGUCCCUUCUCCCCAGUUCCUCCCUUGGGGUGGGCUGUUCACUUAGGCGGUGGCCUACCAGCGCCUGGGUGGGGAGCAUGCGCAGUGUGUUUACUGAAGUUAUACGCGUGCUCACUUGAAGCGUUCUUCCCUUACCCACUGAAUGUCCCCAGGAGGUCAUGUACCAAUUAAACUCUGCUAUUUUGCCUCUUAGUGCACAUGCUUGUGCCCACUCGCCGAACUCCCAAGAUCUUAUUGGGAAGCUGCUGAUCACCAGCUUCGGGUGUUUUCUUUUCUUUUUCUUUUUUUGAGAUGGAGUUUCUCUCUUGUUGCCC